UCUUUGAACAAACAAUACCAAUGAAUAUUAUUUCUUUGUAAAACGACCUCAAAUUACAUUAUUUCUAAGUCAUUUUAUGAUCACCGCCAAAUUGUUGUUGCGAGAGGUCUGAAGAAAUGCCAUUAGCUGGGAUGAGAACUUACCUGAAGUGUUGUAUGGCAAAUGGAAUCAUUGGCGAGAUGAGUUAAAGAAUGUGGCUCAAGUGAGUCUCCCUAGACAUUACUUCCGGAUUGGUUUUCCAGAAUCGGAAUCCAGCGAGGACGCCUUUGGUGUCAUGUCUUAUUGGAGGCCGUUAAUGCCAAAUGGUAAAAUUUAGGCUGCAGUAUUGGAAACCCGUUUGCUGUAUAACAUAGAAAAUGAUCUUCGUCAGAAGCUUGACGAGGGUCGCCACUUCCACAUGAAAAUGUGGUUACAACAACAUUCCUUUAAGGUUUGCCGAAGGGUAUGUUGAAUCGAUUCAACAACUGUCAUUAAGUGGAUUAAUUCAGACUACAGAAGGUAUAAAUCGUUCGUAGCCCAAAGAAUUGCCGAGAUAUUGGACUCGACUCGUCCCGCUGAUUGAAAUGGUUGUCUACGAAUUUGAAUGUAACGGACGAAACAACAAGAGCAAAGAGAAAAACGAAUUUUUGCUUCAAUUCUCGUUGGCACCAAGGAAUACAAUUUUUGCAUGAGCCUGAAGGUAAUUGGCCUAAAAUGGUUUCCGCCCGGAAUGAUGCAAUUUGUGAAGAGGAGCUUUGCCCGAAAUUGUUAGCGUUUGGCAAACGGCGUUACCACCUCAUGGCGAACAAAAAGACUUGCAUUGGAAACAUUUGCGCUUUCGUCUCGGGGAUAGGAAGCUUUCCUAGGGUCAAAAUUCAAUACUUCUGUAAAAAUCGCAAGACAGGAUGCGCCCAUUUCAAAUGUAUUUUGGUAAAUAUUUACACAAAUGUCAAUAUACAUACAUAAAUA
rnacentral:sRNA from 1 species